GGUCAAGAAGAGAAGCGCAAACGGUGGAUGCCUUGGCAGUAAGAGGCGAAGAAGGACGUGGAAUCCUGCGAAAAGCUAUGGGGAGCUGGAAACGAGCGUUGAGCCAUAGAUGUCCGAAUGGGGGAACCCGGCUGCAGCGAUGCGGUCAUUUGCAUUUGAAUACAUAGGAUGCAAAGGCGAACUCGGGGAACUGAAACAUCUAAGUACCCGAAGGAAAAGAAAUCAAGAGAGAUUCUCCAAGUAGCGGCGAGCGAACGGGGAGGAGCCUGGCGUGAUUUAUUAUUGAACUGAGUAGAACAAUUUGGGAAAGUUGGCCGUAGAGGGUGAAAGCCCCGUAUACGAAGGUUUGAUGAGGAACUAGGCACGCGAGCAAGUAGG
rnacentral:rRNA from 1 species